CACCGGCGAGCAUCUUCCCCAAUCUUCUGAACUUGUUCCUUGUAGCUUUCAAAUUGCUGGUGCAAUCUUCUAAUAACAGGAACCAAGCAGGACCUGCAAUGCAGAGAGAGUCUGCUUCUCAGGACCAGCAGCGACUGAACAGGAUUGGGUUCUGUAUUGAGAAGUAGUGGUCUAGCCCUGGGAUGCUCCAGUCCAACAAACAAUCUCGACAGGUGUUACCCCUCAACAGGAAAGUUGCCAAACUGAACAGGAGAAACCUGUCUUAAUAUCAAGCUUACAAGGUUUUCAGGCCUAUAGUAUCAUUAAUACAGUUCCUAGUACAUCACAUUUAUUCAUUGGUCAAACUGCAACCCAAUUACCGGCAAGUUCCCAUCAACCUAUUAGGUAUAUAAACCUAAAUACCGUACUAAUUGUAUUCAUUGCCCUUUUCUGCUCCUUAGCUACCUAUCGAAGCGUCCUGUUGCAGUUCAUUGACCUUAAACUUCAAUCUCAGGGUCACGUAUUCUGUACAUUUAAAGCAUGUAAAAUAUCGUAUUAAUUGUAUUUGCUCUUUCUGCUCCUUCUAGUUACCUAUUGUGGUCCUGUUGCAGUUCAAGGAGGGUUUUCUAUCUUUCUUAAACAAAGUAAAUCUGAUAAAUUAAGGCAAGGGGUAACUGUUCACAUUGCUCGCACUAAUUCUGUUUUCUGUCUACACGCGUCCAUGCUGAGACAUCUGUCCUUCAGACCCCCAUCUGCGCCUCCGGACCUGCUGUUUCUAACUGCGCAGAACCUGCCUGUCUUCAGAUCCUGGUUUUCUGCAAGACUCCAAGAUCUCCAAAAGGAGAUGCCUUUCUUCCUCAAACUAUUUGUGCCAUUCCUUCAGGAUUGAAGCUGCAAGCACAGCUGCUCAGCGAAACAUUCCUGCAUGUCAUCAAAAAGCUUGGUCGGUGGUCUUCAGAUGCUUAAUAUUAAAGACAUUCUCGUUGCCCAACAACACCUGGAACCUGCAUCCUAAUGAAGGAUCCAACCCUACCAUACCGCCACCCUCCCACCCAAGGGCACUCUGAGUGCUUUUCCUCUGCCACUGAGCACUGUAUUACCAAAUGACAGCAGUCUAAUUGUACAGACAGGGUUGGAUUAAAGGAUGUGGGGGCCCUAAGGUAACCCAUAUUUUGUUGGCCCUAUGCAUAUUAUGGCGAAUGGUGUUAUUGGCAUAUUGGUUAAUCCAGCCCUGCAUUGAGGACCUAUAUCAGGCCAUAUUUUGGUGGCCACCUACAUACUCACUCUUCCACAACAACCAGGGUACUCAAGCUGGGAGAGAAACAAACACUAUGGUCUUAAACCGUUCUUGCCCGCUGCAGACAUCCACAUUUGAAUUCCCUUCAGCCUCCUGCAUUGUACAUGUUUACCUUUACCUGCCUUUUUUUUUUCUAAAAUUCCAACCCCCUAAUUCUCAGUAAUCUGAGAACCCCCUAAUUAAAAAAGAACGCUUCUAAAAUUUAAAAGAGGCAUACUGUGCACAUUUGAGACAGGACAGUUUGUUAAAUUGGCCCUAAAACUGAAAUAAAUAUGUAAAUUGAGCAUGAUUCAUACAUUUUAUCAUGCAGACUGAUGCCUCUGAUGUAGAAAUAGGGAUGAAUCUCUCCCAGGAGGUAGAGGGCGUGGAGCAUUUGGUAUUGUACAGUAAGCUGCUUGCGUGAGAGACCAGGUGUGCUGUAAUCGAGAAAAAAAAGCCUAGCCGUCAUAAAUGAAAAAAAUAAACUGAAAAUUCUGCUGGUGGCCCUACGCUAUCUCGUAAUUUGCGUAUAUGUUAAUCCGGCCUUGCAUACAGACGUAUCUCGGUCUAUUUUAAUAGUAAUGAUAUUUUGUCAUUAGGCUACAAUGUCAAGGUUUGUCAAGCAGUAAUCUGAGAAAAAACAUUUUUUAAUAGUGUAUGACAACUGACACCUAUGAUCCAGAAGAUUUACCAAAGGGGAAUACCGUUAAGACUUUCUCAGAAAUCUCAGGAAUGUCUUUUCUGUUCAAUACCAACCAAGUACGUCAUGUGAUUCCCACACUUCAUCCCACAGGAAAGGUAAAGAACACAACAACAUGAAGAGAUGCCCUCAUUAUGCCACGCACUCUAGAGAACAGAGUCGGCUUUUCUGUAUAUCUCAGGGACCAGACUUCAUAUUCAGCCUCCUCCUGAUUUUUAUUUAGUAUCUACAAACAACGGGCCCUGUUCAACAAGCUAACUCACGAGUCAUUUAAAGAACAUUUGUUUUUCAAAAUCAA